GGGGACAACAGCUAGAAAUGGCUGCUAAUACCGCAUAAGCCUACAGCCUCGCAUGAGGGAGUAGGAAAAGAAAUUCGGUGCAGGAUGAGUCCGCGUCCGAUUAGCUAGUUGGAGGGGUAAAGGCCCACCAAGGCAACGAUCAGUAGCCGGCCUGAGAGGGCGACCGGCCACAUUGGGACUGAGACACGGCCCAAACUCCUACGGGAGGCAGCAGUGGGGAAUAUUGCACAAUGGGGGAAACCCUGAUGCAGCGACGCCGCGUGAGCGAGGAAGUAUUUCGGUAUGUAAAGCUCUAUCAGCAGGGACGAAAAAAGACGGUACCUGACUAAGAAGCCCCGGCUAACUACGUGCCAGCAGCCGCGGUAAUACGUAGGGGGCAAGCGUUAUCCGGAUUUACUGGGUGUAAAGGGAGCGUAGACGGCAAGGCAAGCCAGAAGUGAAAGGGCAGGGCUCAACCCUGUACAUGCUUUUGGAACUGUGGUGCUAGAGUGCAGGAGAGGUAAGUGGAAUUCCUAGUGUAGCGGUGAAAUGCGUAGAUAUUAGGAGGAACACCAGUGGCGAAGGCGGCUUACUGGACUGUAACUGACGUUGAGGCUCGAAAGCGUGGGGAGCAAACAGGAUUAGAUACCCU
rnacentral:rRNA from 1 species